rnacentral:tRNA from 1 species
UCAUAGCUCAGUUGGAUAGAGUGUUGGACUUCGAAUCCAAAUGUCGGGGGUUCGAAUCCCUCUGGGC